GAUGAACGCUGGCGGCGUGCCUAAUACAUGCAAGUCGAACGCUGAAGGAAGGAGCUUGCUCUUUCCGGAUGAGUUGCGAACGGGGGAGUAACGCGUAGGUAACCUGCCUGGUAGAGGGGGAUAACUAUUGGCAACGAUAGCUAAUACCGCAUAACAGUAGAUGUUGCAUGAUUUCUACUUAAAAGGAGCAAUUGCACCACUACCAGAUGGACCUGCGAUGUAUUAGCUAGUUGGUGAGGUAACGGCUCAACAAGGCGAGGAUACAUAGCCGAGCAGAGAGGGGAAGCGGCCAAACUGGGACUGGAGCACGGCCCAGAAUACUGCGGGAGGGAGAAGUAGGGAAUCUUCGGCGAUGGACGGAAGUCGGACCGAGCAACGACGCGUGAGUGAAUAAGGUUUUCGGGUCGUAAAGCUCUGUUGUAAGAGAAGGACGAGUGUGAGAGUGGAAAGUUCACACUGUGACGGUAUCUGACCAGAAAGGGACGGCUAACUACGUG
rnacentral:rRNA from 1 species